rnacentral:rRNA from 1 species
AUGGAUACUGAUAUGCACGAGGGUGAUGAUGGCUCGGCUCUUAAGGAGGCACCAGCAGCUGACAGUGGACGAGAGUUGUCCACUGCGUCGGGUGCUGACUCUCAGAUGUCUGCGGAUGGUACGGCACCACCUUCUACCGUGCCUACGACUUCUCUCAGAUUCGGGUCUUUUGAUCCGGCAUCUGCGCCUCCGAGACUUUGGAGUGAUUGUGUGGAGUCUGAUGAGGUGUUUGAGCAUACGCUGCCGGUGCUGGAGUCUGAGGAGUAUGUGGUUCCUUUUUUGGGUGCGUUGCCGAUUUCGAUCAGGGAUGAGGCGGAGGAGACUGCUCUCGCUGGCGGGGGUCCGGAGAUGGUGAUUUCGGAUUCCUCCGCUGCGGUCGUGAUCUCUCAGGUUCAGCAGGCGAUGCCUUUGGAUGAAGGGGGCGUGGGGCAGGAGGCCUCCGCGCUCUAA